rnacentral:lncRNA from 10 species
CGUUGGUUUCCAGACCUUCUGGGUAACAAUUUGAUCCCAUCCAGCUGACUUCUGUCACCCCAUCCUGACGUGAGCCUGGGUUACUGGCAUUCACACCAUCUUUGCCCUAGUCCACCACGGAAGGAAUUCAAAUUCUUUCUAGGUCCCUUCCUCUUGCCUUCGUGGACCUGGAACAGUGAUCUGGCCUCAGGGGACCAGCAUGCUUUUCUUCAGCAAGAAUUUGGGUAUUUCUUCAAUUUCUUGUCUUUUGGAUUACUAUUCAGGACAACCAAUCUCUCAAGAAAGGGUCAAGUACCUAUCCUAGCUGUGGAACCUACAGAACCUUACUUCAGAAGCCCAAUAUGAGUAAACAGGAAAAGGGGAAUAUUCUCUGGUUGACAAUGGUGUGGCUGUCACUGGCAUGUCUGCAAAGGAAAAACUACAAUGACUGCAUGUUAAACACAGCAUCACAGACUGUUACCACUGAAAAAUUUUGAGAAGCUCUCCACUUGAACCUCUUCAUGUCAUGAAUCAGGUGCCAGUGGCUUAGCUUGAAUUACAGGGUAAAAGCCAUCACUUUCUCUAUCCUUUUAGGUGCUUUCUAGAAUCAAAACUAAACUUUGUCAUCAAAGGCCCAUUUAUAAUAGCUGCUUUCCUAGCUUUUUAUUCUAUGAUAAAGAAGGAUUGAAGCAUUUUUAAAACUU